rnacentral:rRNA from 1 species
CCCGCUGAACUUAAGCAUAUCAAUAAGCGGAGGAAAAGAAACCAACAGGGAUUGCCUCAGUAACUGCGAGUGAAGCGGGAAUUGCUCAAAUUUGAAAUCUGGUGGCCUUGGGGCCUGAAUUGUGAUUUGCAGAGGAGGCUCCUCCGAGGACGACCGCGCACGUCCCCUGUGACGGGAAGUCAUAGAGAGGGAGAACAUCCCCUCUCUGCCCCACACAGCCAUGGGUUGCUCCAUCGACUAGCCGAGAUGCUAGGUGAUGCAGAUUACAAUGCAUAAUGGGUGGUGAUCUGCAUCUAUAGCUAAAUAUUGACGAGAAACCGAUAGCGAACAAGUACCGUGAGGGAAAGAUGAAAAGCACUUUGGAAAGAGAGUGAAACAGUACGUGAAAUUGUUGAAAGGGAAGCGCUUGUAGUCAGACUUGCGCGCAGUGGCUCAGCCGUCCUUCGGGCGGUGCAUUCUGCUGCGUCCAGGCCAGCAUCGGUUUGGGCGGCCAGGAUAAAGGCUUGAGAAAUGUGGCCCUUCGGGGUGUUAUAGUCUCCUGCACAAUACGGCCUGCCUGGACCGAGGACAGCGUUCGCUAGGAUGCUGGCGUAAUGGCUAUCAGCGGCCCGUCUUGAAACACGG